rnacentral:rRNA from 1 species
GAUGAACGCUAGCGGCAGGCCUAAUACAUGCAAGUCGGACGGGAUUGAGAAGCUUGCUUUUUAUGAGAGUGGCGCACGGGUGCGUAACACGUAUGUAACCUACCUUAAUCAGGGGGAUAGCCUCUCGAAAGAGAGAUUAACACCGCAUAAAAUCAAUUUAUGGCAUCAUAGAAUGAUCAAAUAUUUAUAGGAUUAAGAUGGGCAUGCGGAACAUUAGCUAGUUGGUAAGGUAACGGCUUACCAAGGCUACGAUGUUUAGGGGAUCUGAGAGGAUGACCCCCCACACUGGAACUGAGACACGGACCAGACUCCUACGUGAGGCAGCAGUAAGGAAUAUUGGUCAAUGGUCGCAAGCCUGAACCAGCCAUGCCGCGUGCAGGAAGACGGCCCUACGGGUUGUAAACUGCUUUUGUACCGGAAUAAACCUUUGUAUGUAUACGAAGCUGAAUGUACGGUAAGAAUAAGGAUCGGCUAACUCCGUGCCAGCCGCCGCCGUAA